ensembl:snoRNA
GCGGCUCGCAGCCUUGCUGGCACUGUGGCCGCGGCUGCCCUGCUGCACCUGAGACACUGGGGCAGGGAGGAAGUGGCCAUUUCUGUGCUCAGUGCUCAGAACUGAGCGCUGAGAGUGAACUGCAGCCGGACUUCA